ensembl:lncRNA
CUGGAGGAUGCGGGUCAUGUGACUCAAGUCAGCCCAUCAAAUUUGCGUGCGAUGUGCGGUGGUGAAGCGCUUACGCCAAAUGCGAACGAGAGCAUCCCUAAAAUUGCCUCUGUCAUACAACCAGGAAGAAGGUGGGAUAGCCCUACAAAGCUAACAUCCCCAAUCUCGCUGUAUUCCUACUCCGAAAAAGAAUGGGGUCUUCCAGGUGGAAGGUAGCAGCUGCGGCUUUUCUCGCUAUAGUGGGCUCUUUAUUAUCUGUCGACGCAGAUGAACACGAACACACGAGCCUGUCUGACGGUGACAUGAGCAAGUUCAGUCUCAUCCAUCAACCUGAGGUGGAGAAAUGUUCUGAGUGGACGGCUGCUUGCACUUCUGUUUACAUCCACUCUCAGGACCACGAGGAUUUCCAAAGGAUAAAACAGGAGUGCUGCCCUAUAAACAACAGAUACACGUGUUUCCUCUUUCUAUUUGGUGAGGAGAUACAACAUGUAUUUCCCUUUGUCAGCUCUGCAAUAUCUCAUAUCCAAAUUCAGUUACACUGACUGUUGGUGUUCACAAUAAAUCCUCUAUUCUAACAAUAUCAGCCGCACGUUAUUGUAAUCUAGAAACAUUCACAGGCUUCAUCUUCUACACAGUGUUGGAUAAAUGAAAUAUGUUGAGGGAAGUUAGCUGUGAGAAAUAUCAUCACAUGUUUCCUCUUUAUGUCUCUGAAUGUUAGCAACAAGCUACUUCCUCACUUACUCCACUGAACCGUGGACGCCUAAAGCUCUCCUCUGGUCACGGUCCUUCUCACCUGGUCGGGAGUGAGCGAUUGUCUUCUGUCGUCAUGGUCACCCUGGAUGUAGUGCAGGAAGUUGAGUCUCUGAAACAGAAGAACAG